CCAUUAAGCACUCCGNCCUGGGGAGUACGGUCGCAAGACUGAAACUCAAAGGAAUUGACGGGGGCCCGCACAAGCGGUGGAGCAUGUGGUUUAAUUNNAAGCAACGCGAAGAACCUUACCAGGUCUUGACAUCCUCUGACAAUCCUAGAGAUAGGACGUCCCCUUCGGGGGCAGAGUGACAGGUGGUGCAUGGUUGUCGUCAGCUCGUGUCGUGAGAUGUUGGGUUAAGUCCCGCAACGAGCGCAACCCUUGAUCUUAGUUGCCAGCAUUCAGUUGGGCACUCUAAGGUGACUGCCGGUGACAAACCGGAGGAAGGUGGGGAUGACGUCAAAUCAUCAUGCCCCUUAUGACCUGGGCUACACACGUGCUACAAUGGACAGAACAAAGGGCAGCGAAACCGCGAGGUUAAGCCAAUCCCACAAAUCUGUUCUCAGUUCGGAUCGCAGUCUGCAACUCGACUNNGUGAAGCUGGAAUCGCUAGUAAUCGCGGAUCAGCAUGCCGCGGUGAAUACGUUCCCGGGCCUUGUACACAC
rnacentral:rRNA from 1 species